GCUUGACCACGUGGAGAUUUGGCCGGCCGGCUUGCGGACCACGUUAAACACUUCGCUAAAAGGCCGGGAGCGCGGGAUC
rnacentral:ncRNA from 1 species